rnacentral:rRNA from 1 species
AACGCUAGCUACAGGCUUAACACAUGCAAGUCGAGGGGUAGCAGGGUAGCAAUACCGCUGACGACCGGCGCACGGGUGAGUAACACGUAUCCAACCUACCUUUUACUCGGGGAUAGCCUUUCGAAAGAAAGAUUAAUACUCGAUAGUAUAACGAAAGGACAUCCUUUUGUUAUUAAAGAAUUUCGGUAAUAGAUGGGGAUGCGUUCCAUUAGAUUGUUGGUGAGGUAACGGCUCACCAAGUCUUCGAUGGAUAGGGGUUCUGAGAGGAAGGUCCCCCACAUUGGAACUGAGACACGGUCCAAACUCCUACGGGAGGCAGCAGUGAGGAAUAUUGGUCAAUGGACGAGAGUCUGAACCAGCCAAGUAGCGUGAAGGACGAAGGCCCUAUGGGUCGUAAACUUCUUUUAUAGGGGAAUAAAGUGCGGAACGUGUUCCGCUUUGUAUGUACCCUUUGAAUAAGGAUCGGCUAACUCCGUGCCAGCAGCCGCGGUAAUACGGAGGAUCCGAGCGUUAUCCGGAUUUAUUGGGUUUAAAGGGAGCGUAGGUGGAUAUAUAAGUCAGUUGUGAAAGUUUGCGGCUCAACCGUAAAAUUGCAGUUGAUACUGUAUAUCUUGAGUACAGUAGAGGUGGGCGGAAUUCGUGGUGUAGCGGUGAAAUGCUUAGAUAUCACGAAGAACUCCGAUUG